AUGUUCUCCUCCUCUCUACUACUUCUGCUGCUGCUGGCAGCUGUAAACAGUGUGACUGGUCAGACACUGACUGAGUCUGAACCAGUGAUCAUUAAACCUGGUGGAUCUCAUAAACUGACCUGUACAGCAUCUGGGUUUAACUUUGGUAGCAACUGGAUGGCUUGGGUCAGACAGGCUCCUGGAAAAGGACUGGAAUGGGUGUCAACUAUUAGCUCUGAUGGUGGUAGCAAAUAUUACUCCAGUGGUGUUCAGGGAAGGUUCACCGUCUCCAGAGACAACAGUAAGAAUCAGCUCUAUCUACAGUUGAACAGCCUGAAGACUGAAGACACAGCUGUGUAUUACUGUGCCAGA